GUGAUUUAAUGACAUGCUUCUAAUGAAAAGGAGAAAUUAGUAACUUUUCCUUGAAGAAACCUCAUAGAUACUAUCUUAAUCAAGUGAUCAAGGUUAAGUGCGCCAAUAGUAAGACAUACUGAUAAAAUAUCCCUGAAAUGUUGCAAAGGGCAUAUCACCUCUGUGGUGUUCCUUCCAAAAAUCUAUAACUGAAUCUACUCCUGAGAAAACAUCAGACAAACCCAAAUUGAUAGACAUUGUACAAAAUGUUUGACCAGCUGUUUUGAAAUAUGUCAGGGUCAUGAAACACAAGGAAAGAUGGAGGAACUGUCACAGACCAGGGGAGAUGACAACUAAGUGCAAUAUGGUGUCCUGGAUGGAAUCCUGGAACAGGAAAGAGACAACUUUGGAAAGAUCAGAGAAAUCCCAACAGAACUAUAGGAAUCUGAACUGUGCAAAAGAAUUAUCACUCACUGCAAGUCCCAGAGUGAACACUUUCUAUGAGAUACUCCAACAGCACAAUGUGUCAUGGAGCCAGGGGGACUGGGUUCGAAUCCCAGUUCUGCAGCAUAGCAGUUAUCUUUGGAUGCAUCACGUAACCUGUCUGACCUCCUGUUUCCUUUGGGAGAAUAAUAUCCACCUCACACAGUUGUGA
rnacentral:lncRNA from 1 species